UGGGGAAUAUUGGUCAAUGGACGAGAGUCUGAACCAGCCAAGUAGCGUGCAGGAUGACGGCCCUAUGGGUUGUAAACUGCUUUUGUUUGGGAAUAAUCGACAUUACGUGUAAUGUUUUGCAUGUACCAUUCGAAUAAGGACCGGCUAAUUCCGUGCCAGCAGCCGCGGUAAUACGGAAGGUCCAGGCGUUAUCCGGAUUUAUUGGGUUUAAAGGGAGUGUAGGCGGUUGGUUAAGCGUGUUGUGAAAUGUAGAUGCUCAACAUCUGACUUGCAGCGCGAACUGGCUGACUUGAGUACACACAACGUAGGCGGAAUUCAUGGUGUAGCGGUGAAAUGCUUAGAUAUCAUGAAGAACUCCGAUUGCGAAGGCAGCUUACGGGAGUGUUACUGACGCUUAAGCUCGAAGGUGCGGGUAUCGAACAGG
rnacentral:rRNA from 1 species